GAUGAACGCUGGCGGCGUGCUUAACACAUGCAAGUCGAACGAUGAAGGAGGAGCUUGCUCCUCUGGAUUAGUGGCGAACGGGUGAGUAACACGUUAGCAAUCUGCCCCUGACUCUGGGAUAAGCGUUGGAAACGACGUCUAAUACCGGAUACGAGCCGAGCAGGCAUCUGCAACGGUUGGAAGGAACUUCGGUCAGGGAUGAGCUCGCGGCCUAUCAGCUAGUUGGUGAGGUAAUGGCUCACCAAGGCGACGACGGGUAGCCGGCCUGAGAGGGCGGCGGGCAAGCAGGGGACUGAGUCACGGCCCAGAGUCCUAGGGGAGGCCGCAGUAGGGAGUAUUGCACAAUGGGUGCAAGCCUGAUGCAGCAACGCCGCGUGAGGGGCGACGGACUUCGGGUUGUAAACCUCUUUUAGCAGGGAAGAAGCGAGAGUGACGGUACCUGCAGAAAGAGCACCGGCUAACUACGUGCCAGCAGCCGCCGUAA
rnacentral:rRNA from 1 species